AAAUAUAGGCAACGAGAGAAAACGAGACAGUGUAAAAAAGCCUUCUGGUGGUUUUCACAGCAAGACUUGUUUCCUGAUCAUUGUAGCAGCAAAUAAAUUUAGUUUUCUCUGCGUAUGGGCGUGGCAAGUUGGUUUUGAAAAAUAUACAGUUGUUACAGGAACUUCAUCAGCACGCUGUAUAAAGUUGAUUUUGAAUUUGUUUGUCUUGCACAUCUAUUAUCAUGGCUUGCAGUUGUGGAUGGUUUUGGACAAUCUUCUGGUUGAUCGGUCUUCUCAUAAUAGCUAUUCCAAUCGGGCUAAUCUUUGCAAUCUUGUGGAUAAUAUUUUCUCCGUUCGGGGUUUGCAUAUCAGGAUGUGGAGACUGCAUAAGCUUUUUAACAAAAGGAUUUAAUCUACCUCAGACCUUUGCAAGAAACAUGGUCGCACAAUCGUCACCGUGUUAAAGUACAUUAUGCCCAGAAGACUUAAAACUAAUCCAUUUUUACCCAGUGAUAAAUCGACUUUCGGUUAAAUAGAAAAAUAAAUAAAAAUUAUUUGGUGAAUUGUACACAAACCAACAUGCAGUGCUACUUUUAGAAGUUUUUAAUGAAAUUCCACAAAUUGUGCUACAUCAUAAAGUGAUAAAUCAGAAAUUCAUUCGCAUAUAUCUUUAUAUACAAAUACAAUGAAGUAUAUUCGAAACUGAAUGUCCAAAAUUCAAAACUAAAAUUUAUUUUGAGAUAAUAUACGUAGCUGUAAAUUUACGGUUAUAAAAGCUCGGAAUUAUCGCAGGCUCAUAGAUGAUUUGUCCUAUUUCAAUACACUAUUUACGGCAACAAAUAUCUCUAUAUACAUAUAUAUAUACCGGCAAUAUGUAGUGUACUAAUCCAAUGAUUCUAUUUCAUAAAGGGUGGAUAAGUUAACAAAUAAUAAAUGAAUAGGCUUCCGGUACUCUUUCGUCACCAGUAUUAAUUUUUAAGUCCGUGCUUCGUAUAUAAUUGUUGUUGCUCCUUUUAUUACUACGGUCAAUGCCAUUGAACAUAAACCAUGUUACUACUCUGCGUGCACGUGAUUUUGAUAUUUUGUUUGCGAAUAUUUGGACGGUAAUAAGCCAAGGUGAAAGUACAGUAUAAUGCAUUGCUAAAUUCAAGCUCCCUGCUUCUAGUCAGCAUUGUUGUGUGUAUUGAUUACUAAUAUAGAAUUGUACUAUUUUUUCCAUGAUAGGAUAAAAUUUAGAUAUUAGUUACGAAAUAAUUUAGGUCAGACAACAACUAGAUGAAGUUAUUAUAAAACAUAACAUUUUAAAAUAUGAAUUUGGCGUUCAAAUCUGACAUCUAUAUUUACAACUAGGUAGCCCUUCGCACAUUUCAAUGUACAUGCAACUGAAUUUCAAUUGUCUUUAAUUUUUUAAAUAAUUAUGUCAUUCAUAUUGUUAUCAUCUCAGGUAUGAAUAUUGUUAUACAUCCAUCAUAACAAAAAUAAAUAAAUACGAAACAGCUCAGAA